rnacentral:misc_RNA from 1 species
UCUCCGUAGGUGAACCUGCGGAGGGAUCAUUACAGAGUUCUCGCCCUCGCGGGUAGAUCUCCCACCCACUGUUAUCGUUACUGUGUUGCUUUGGCGGGCCGCCGGGCCCCGCUCGGCCGCCGGCUCCGGCUGGCGCGCGCCCGCCAGAGGCCCAGCAAGCUCUGAAUGUUAGUGUCGUCUGAGUACUAUAUAAUAGUUAAAACUUUCAGCAACGGAUCUCUUGGUUCUG